GCACUCUAGCCUGGGAGACAGCAAGACUUUGUCUCAAAAAAAAAAAGUGCAACUUUGCUGUGGUAAAUAUUAUGGAACAACUUACUCAAACCUCAUUUCACUCUCCUUCUAGAUGGAUAUUGAAAGGUUAAAAUCUAUAUUCUCCACACUCUAAUGCAGCUAGCAUUCUGGAUGUGAGUUCAUGUACUUGUGUGAUAUUUGAAAGGCAGAACUGAAUCAGAGACCAUUCUCCUCUUUCUUCUUGGCUUCUCUUACUGGCGAGCAAGGCUGCGAACAAUUCCCACAGAGUCACCCUCCAUUAUCCUGGGUGUUGACAGACAGUUACAAUGAUAGAAUGAUCUAAAUGUUUCCUCUCCUGAUCCUUGGCCAGAAUAAAAUGAACAAGAAAAUACACUCAAUUGGCAACAGACCAUGAGUUAAAUAAUUAGUGAAUCUGAAAGUGGGACUUUCAGAAUAAUAGCUUUCAAGGAAUAACAGCAGAAUUGGCCUGAAGACUGGAGUAAUUGAAAAAGUAGAUAUGAGCGGCAACUUACCUCUUUUGAAAUAGUGUUUCUCCUGACUGGAGGACUUACUUGGAGUUUAAUCUUUACCUGCUCUUACCAUGUGAUGAUAGAUAAAACACUCAGACUCUCUGAGGGUUCAGUUCCCCAUCUAUAAUAUGUAAAUGAUGAGCCCAACCUGGUGUGAGGGUCACGGGUGUGAAAGUGACUGUAGAGGGUGUCUACCUCUGUCUUUGCCGGUGUGUAUGUCUGUACAUCUGUGUGAGUGCAUGUGUGUGUGUAAAUGCAUCUGUGUAGGUCUUUGUGCCUUUAUCUGAAUGUAUGUUUCAUGUUUCUAGUUUGUAUGUCUUUGAGUUUUUACGGGCAUGUUACUGUGUGCAUGGGUGUGUGUGUGUGUGUGCACAUGUGCUAGUUUAUAUAUACAUAUCUAUUUUGUGAAGGUGUGUUAUGUACGUGAUGUUGGACGGAUGUCUCUCCAUGUAACUGAAAACAUGUAUGUACAUGGGGCAUUCCAUGGUCCAAACCACCAUUUUAUAAAAGACAACAUGAAAACCAGAAGCAGGGCACUGGCUGCCAAUUUGACGUAAGAUAACUGGAAGGAAAAUGCUGAUGACUUAAAGUAUGUGAAAUUUUGGCAAGGCUGCCAAGACCAUUCAACAAAAAGGACAAUCGUUUCAGUAAAUGAUGUUGGAAAAAUACCCACGUACAAAAAAAUAAAGUUGGAGCCUUGCUUUAUACCAUGCACAAAAUUAACUCAAAAUGAAUCAAAGACCUAAACAUAAUACUUAAAAUUAUAAAACUCUCAGAAGAAAACACAGGGAAAAAGUUUCAUGAUAUUGGAUUUGGCAAUGACUUUGUGAAUAUGAUACUAAAAACACAGAUAUCAGAAGAAAUAGAUAAAUUAGACUUGAUCAAAAUUAAAAACUUUUAGGAAUCAAUGGACACUCAAUAGAAUAAAAAGACAACACGUGGAACUGGGGGAAAUAUUUACAAAUCUACAUUUGAUCAGGAGUUGAUAUACAGAUUAUAUAAAGAACUUUUAUAACUCAGCAACAAAGAACCAAUUUAAUUAAGAAAUGAGGAGAAACAGGACAAAAAUGUCCAUUCUCAUAACUUCUUCUCAACAUAGUACUUGAAAUCAUGGCCAGAGCAGUUAGGCAAGGGAAAGAAUCAGAAGGUAUCCAAAUUGGAAAAGAGGAAGUUAAAUUGUCCCUGUUUGCAGAUGAUAUGACUUUAUAUAUAGAAAACUCUAAAAAUUCCACCAAUAAAACUCUCAGAACUGAUAAACAAAUUCAAUGAAGUUGUAGGAUACAAAAUCAACAUACAAAAAUCAGUAGUAUUUCUAUGCUAGGCUUGAUGGCUCAUGCCUGUAAUCCCAGCACUUUGGGAGGCUGAGGUGGGUGGAUCACAUGAGGUCAGGAGUUUGAGACUAGCCUGGCCAACAUGGCCAAACCCCAUCUCUACUAAAAAUACAAAAAUUAGCCCGGCAUGGUGGUGCGUGUCUGUAAUCCCAGCUACUCAGGAAGCUGAAGCAUGAGAAUCACUUGAACCCAGUAUGUGGAGGCUGAAGUGAGCUGAGAGCGCACCAGUGCUCUCCAGCCUGGGUGACAGAGCAAGACUGUCUCAAAAAAAAAAAAAGGCUGGGAAAAUUGGAUAUUCACAUGCAGAAGAAUGAAACUGAACCCCUAUCUUUCACCAUAUAUAAAAAUCAACUAAAAAUGAUUUAAAGACUUCAGUAUAAGACCUGAAACUAUAAAGCUACCAGAAGAAAACAGGGAAGACACUUCAUCAGCCUGGGCAAUAUGGCAAACCCCAUCUCUACAAAAAAUACAAAAAUUAGCCAUGUGGGGUGGUGCAUGCCUGUCAUCCUAGCUACUUAGGGAGUUGCGGUGGGAAGAUCUCUUGAGUCCAGAAGGCAGAGGUUGCAGUGAGCCAAGAUCACGGCAUUGCACUCCAGCCUGGGUGACAAAGGGAGACCCUGUCUCAAAAGAACAAAAGCAAAACAAAACAAAACAGAAACACUUCAUGACAUGAGAUUAGGCAAGAAUCUUUUGAAUAGGACCUUAAAACAUAAACAACAAAUACAAAGAUAAAGACAUGGGGUUACAUCAAAUUACAAAGGUUCUGCCUGGUGAAGGAAACAACAGAGUGAAAAGACAACCUGUAGAAUGGGAGAAAAUAUUUGCAAACUAUGCAUCUGACAUGGGGUUAAUAUCCAGAAUAUAUAAGGAACUCAAGCAACUCAGCAGCAAAAAACAAACAAUUCAACUACAAAAUGGGCAAAAGACCAUGUUGAUUCAGCAUUAUUUACAGUAGCCCAGAUAUGGGCUUAACUUAGGUGUCUAACAAUGGAUGAAUGGAUAAAAUGAUAAAUUGAUAAAAUAAAUGUAUAGUUAUGCACUGCAUUACAGCAUUUCAGUUAAUGACUGACCAGAAAUGUGACGGUGGUCCAAAAAGAUUACAAGGCAGCUGAAAAAUUCCUAUCACAGUGACAUUGUAGCUGUCAUAACAGUGUAACACAAUUACUUUAUUUUUAUUUUUUUUAUUAUACUUUAAGUUUUAGGGUACAUGUGCACAACGUGCAGGUUUGUUACAUAUGUAUACAUGUGCCAUGUUGGUGUGCUGCACCCAUUAACUGAUCAUUUACAUUAGGUAUAUCUCCUAAUGCUAUCCCUCCCCCCUCCCCCCACCCCACAACAGGUCCUGGUGUGUGACGUUCCCCUUCCUGUGUCCAAGUGUUCUCAUUGUUCAGUACCCACCUAUGAGUGAGAACAUGUGGUGUUUGGUUUUUUUUGUCCUUGCGAUAGUUUGCUGAGAAUGAUGGUUUCCAGCUUCAUCCGUGUCCCUACAAAGACAUGAACUCAUCAUUUUUUAUGGCUGCAUAGUAUUCCAUGGUGUAUAUGUGCCACAUUUUCUUAAUCCAGUCUAUCGUUGUUGGACAUUUGGUUUGUUCCAAGUCUUUGCUAUUGUGAAUAGUGCCGCAAUAAACAUACGUGUGCAUGUGUCUUUAUAGCAGCAUGAUUUAUAAUCCUUUGGGUAUAUACCCAGUAAUAGGAUGGCUGGGUCAAAUGGUAUUUCUAGUUCUAGAUCCCUGA
rnacentral:lncRNA from 10 species